AAGUCUUAACAAGGUAACCGUAGGUGAACCUGCGGUUGGAUCAUUAGAAAAUGAUAACUUGUCAGUUUAAGUGGUCUUCGUGAUCCUUGCUGAUGGGUAACCACCACUGUGCACUAUGAUAGUAUCUGGGCUAAGCUCUUUCUGCAUUGACUUUGGUUAAUAUAGACGGAACGAAGCCCGACCAUUUCAACAAACCUCUAUAUUUUGACUGACUUUUGUAUUCUAACGAAUCAAAAACAACUUUUAACAACGGAUCUCUUGGCUCUC
rnacentral:misc_RNA from 1 species